UACGUAGGGGGCAAGCGUUGUCCGGAAUCAUUGGGCGUAAAGCGCGCGUAGGCGGCCAGAUAAGUCCGGUGUGAAAGUCACAGGCUCAACCUGUGAAUGCCGCUGGAAACUGUCUGGCUUGAGUCCGGAAGGGGCGAGUGGAAUUCCUGGUGUAGCGGUGAAAUGCGCAGAUAUCAGGAGGAACACCAAUGGCGAAGGCAGCUCGCUGGGACGUUACUGACGCUAAGGCGCGAAAGCGUGGGGAGCGAACAGG
rnacentral:rRNA from 1 species